rnacentral:rRNA from 1 species
AACGAACGCUGGCGGCAUGCCUAACACAUGCCAGUCGAACGAGACCUUCGGGUCUAGUGGCGCACGGGUGCGUAACGCGUGGGAACCUGCCCUUAGGUUCGGAAUAACUCCCCGAAAGGGGUGCUAAUACCGGAUAAUGUCUUCGGACCAAAGAUUUAUCGCCUUUGGAUGGGCCCGCGUUGGAUUAGCUAGUUGGUAGGGUAAAAGCCUACCAAGGCGACGAUCCAUAGCUGGUCUGAGAGGAUGAUCAGCCACACUGGGACUGAGACACGGCCCAGACUCCUACGGGAGGCAGCAGUGGGGAAUAUUGGACAAUGGGCGAAAGCCUGAUCCAGCAAUGCCGCGUGAGUGGUGAAGGCCUUAGGGUUGUAAAGCUCUUUUACCCGGGAUGAUAAUGACAGUACCGGGAGAAUAAGCGCCGGCUAACUCCGUG